ACGAACUGUGUACUCGUGACGCUUGACAUCGACCACGACAGGCCUAGCGGAAGAACCAACAGGUGUCUAUCUGACUGUCCGCGGUGAAGUUCUGGUAUUGCAGCGUUCAUAAUGCGGACGACGUACAGGACUUCCUUGUGGAUUGAUGACAUAUUAUAUUAUACGGACGGACUAGAAAAAAGAGACGGACAAUAAAAGCACUUCGAUCUUGUUCUUCUUACUGCCGUGAAAAUAACGAAACGGAAGGAAAAAGGAUGCGCAACCG
rnacentral:lncRNA from 1 species